rnacentral:rRNA from 1 species
GGGAUUGCCUUAGUACGGCGAGUGAAGCGGCAAAAGCUCAAAUUUGAAAUCUGGUACCUUCGGUGCCCGAGUUGUAAUUUGGAGAGGGCAACUUUGGGGCCGUUCCUUGUCUAUGUUCCUUGGAACAGGACGUCAUAGAGGGUGAGAAUCCCGUGUGGCGAGGAGUGCGGUUCUUUGUAAAGUGCCUUCGAAGAGUCGAGUUGUUUGGGAAUGCAGCUCUAAGUGGGUGGUAAAUUCCAUCUAAAGCUAAAUAUUGGCGAGAGACCGAUAGCGAACAAGUACAGUGAUGGAAAGAUGAAAAGAACUUUGAAAAGAGAGUGAAAAAGUACGUGAAAUUGUUGAAAGGGAAGGGCAUUUGAUCAGACAUGGUGUUUUGUGCCCUCUGCUCCUUGUGGGUAGGGGAAUCUCGCAUUUCACUGGGCCAGCAUCAGUUUUGGUGGCAGGAUAAAUCCAUAGGAAUGUAGCUUGCCUCGGUAAGUAUUAUAGCCUGUGGGAAUACUGCCAGCUGGGACUGAGGACUGCGACGUAAGUCAAGGAUGCUGGCAUAAUGGUUAUAUGCCGCCCGUCUUGAAAACACGGACCA